rnacentral:rRNA from 1 species
AUUGAACGCUGGCGGCAGGCCUAACACAUGCAAGUCGAACGGUAGCACAGAGAGCUUGCUCUUGGGUGACGAGUGGCGGACGGGUGAGUAAUGUCUGGGAAACUGCCUGAUGGAGGGGGAUAACUACUGGAAACGGUAGCUAAUACCGCAUAACGUCGCAAGACCAAAGAGGGGGACCUUCGGGCCUGUGGCCAUCAGAUGUGCCCAGAUGGGAUUAGAUAGUAGGUGGGGUAAUGGCUCACCUAGGCGACGAUCCCUAGCUGGUCUGAGAGGAUGACCAGCCACACUGGAACUGAGACACGGUCCAGACUCCUACGGGAGGCAGCAGUGGGGAAUAUUGCACAAUGGGCGCAAGCCUGAUGCAGCCAUGCCGCGUGUAUGAAGAAGGCCUUCGGGUUGUAAAGUACUUUCAGCGGGGAGGAAGGUGUUGCGGUUAAUAACCGCAGCAAUUGACGUUACCCGCAGAAGAAGCACCGGCUAACUCCGUGCCAGCCGCCGCGGUAA